rnacentral:rRNA from 1 species
CUACGGGCCGCUGCAGUGGGGAAUAUUGGACAAUGGAGGAAACUCUGAUCCAGCCAUGCCGCGUGAGUGAAGAAGGCCCUAGGGUUGUAAAACUCUUUCAGUAAGGAAGAUAAUGACGGUACUUACAGAAGAAGCCCCGGCUAACUCCGUGCCAGCAGCCGCGGUAAUACGGAGGGGGCUAGCGUUGUUCGGAAUCACUGGGCGUAAAGCGCGCGUAGGCGGUUUGAAAAGUCAGAUGUGAAAGCCCAGGGCUCAACCCUGGAACUGCAUUUGAAACUAUCAGACUAGAAUUCGGUAGAGGAUAGUGGAAUUCCUAGUGUAACAGUGAAAUGUAUAGAUAUUAGGAGGAACACCAGUGGCGAAGGCGACUAUCUGGGCCGAUAUUGACGCUAAUGUGCGAAAGCGUGGGGAGCAAACAGGAUUAGAUACCCCCGUAGUC